rnacentral:rRNA from 1 species
GACAGAGGGUGCAAACGUUGCUCGGAAUUACUGGGCGUAAAGCGCGUGUAGGCGGGCAUGCAAGUCGAGUGUGAAAUCCCUGGGCUCAACCCAGGAACUGCAUUCGAAACUGCAUGUCUAGAGUGUCGGAGAGGGAAGCGGAAUUCCUGGUGUAGAGGUGAAAUUCGUAGAUAUCAGGAGGAACACCGGUGGCGAAGGCGGCUUCCUGGACGAUUACUGACGCUGAGACGCGAAAGCGUGGGGAGCAAACAGG